rfam:Lactobacillus mellifer strain Bin4 genomic scaffold Bin4_scaffold1, whole genome shotgun sequence.
AUAAAUCGAAGAGGUCGCGACUAACAUGAGUAACUAGUGGAGUUUCUGCAAAACUAAGAAACUAGUGAAAGGGGCAGUCGCCGAAGCGGCCAUGACGCAGAAGUGGUUUACGCUGGGACGUAGUUCAAGAAAUUACGGACUGUCGCAAUUUAUUUUGCGGAGCGCUAUCGACAAAA